GUGUGGUGGGAGGUGCCAAGGAUUAAUUACCAGAUACCUUUAGUCUAGGUCGGGUCGGGAUUUUGAGGUUUCCGGUGGAGCAGCCUCAUAUACUAAAAGCACAGGAGAGAGGAACCCAGAUUUGUUAUUGCUUCCCAUUUGUUUGAUAUUGGCCUGGUUAGUUAUCUUCUGACCCCGUUUCUUCACUGCUAAACACCUCUUGACUUGCUACUGGUACCUGGAAGAGAUGUAACACCUGACCAUCGGACAUCAAGUGACUGCGUGAAUCAAACUGCCUGUCAUGAAUUGUUAUUUGAUUCACCAAACUGUACAACUGGAUGAACACAGGAGCAGUGCACUACAUAUGGGACUGGAACCAUGAAUGAGCAGGUGACUCAGACUCCUAUAGUACCUGCCUCUACUCCUUCAGCACUUCUCACUCAACCCACAUAAACUGUCAUCAUAAGGAGUUCCCUCUGACCAGUUAAUGGAAGAGAAAAAAGUAUGGAUGUUGUGGAUAUCCUAACAUAUCUCUGGCCAUUGGACCCCUAGAAACCUAUGGCAAGUCCUGGAAGUUUUUCAAGGUUCAUCUUGCACCUCUAGCAUGCAUAUGUCUUACCAAAGCAUGUAGAAUGCUGCUUACUUCUGCUCAUCAGUUUCAUUUAAUAUAAUUUCAUUACUCUAAUCAGUGUAAUGUUCUAUGGAAUAACAAGACCUUCCAGGUCCCUUCAUACCAUAUAGAGAACAGGAGAGUUGAUGUAGCCAGAGACAAGACAGUAAGGACUUACUGUUAUCCCUCCUAUUUAAACGUAGUCUGAUUCCCCUUAGAAUUAGAAUGGGGGUGGGGGGACAUUUCCAGAUCAAUAUCAGAUCAGUAUCAUGUCAACAUGUGUAUUUCUUCCAAAGAAGAUACCACACCUAGAACAGCAACCAUAAUUGGCAUCCCUACCUAAUUAAAGUUUGCAGUCCACUGUCAUUCUUCACUAGCCAUCUGGUUUUUAUACUGUCAUUCUCCAUGAUGCAUCUGGUGGCCACAGGAAAUUUAAAUGGGAAUGUGGUAUGAAUCACUACGGCAACAUGGUGGCACU